AUGAACGCUGGCGGCGUGCCUAAUACAUGCAAGUCGAGCGAACAGACGAGGAGCUUGCUCCUCUGACGUUAGCGGCGGACGGGUGAGUAACACGUGGAUAACCUACCUAUAAGACUGGGAUAACUUCGGGAAACCGGAGCUAAUACCGGAUAAUAUAUUGAACCGCAUGGUUCAAUAGUGAAAGACGGUUUUGCUGUCACUUAUAGAUGGAUCCGCGCCGCAUUAGCUAGUUGGUAAGGUAACGGCUUACCAAGGCGACGAUGCGUAGCCGACCUGAGAGGGUGAUCGGCCACACUGGAACUGAGACACGGUCCAGACUCCUACGGGAGGCAGCAGUAGGGAAUCUUCCGCAAUGGGCGAAAGCUUGACGGAGCAACGCCGCGUGAGUGAUGAAGGUCUUCGGAUCGUAAAACUCUGUUAUUAGGGAAGAGCAAAUGUGUAAGUAACUAUGCACGUCUUGACGGUACCUAAUCAGAAAGCCACGGCUAACUACGUG
rnacentral:rRNA from 1 species